GUGUGUGUGUGUGUGUACAGAGACCUGCAGUGUGCGUGUGUGUGUGCACCUGCAGUGUGUGUGUGUGUGUGUGUGUGUGUGUACAGAGACCUGCAGUGUGUGUGUGUGUGUGUGUGUGCAGACCUGCAGUGUGUGUCUUUCAGUGUGCACCUUCCAGACAACCGGACCAGAUGGACGUCACACUCGCACACUUUGGACUUUAAUGCUGUUACACUUGACGUCCUUGAGACUUGAACCACCACUCAAGAUCUCAAGUUUCCAGACAAAAAUCAGCGACAGCCUGAAAAGGCGCCGGUGGCCGAGCGUCU
ensembl:lncRNA